CUUAGGCUUCCAUCUACUACUGCGUUGGGCGUGAAUUGAGCCAACUCUAUGAAAUUUUAUGCGUAUUUUGCCACUCUCAUAUUCCCCAACUUUAACUCUAGGAAUUCCAUUUGCUUCUCUUCUCGAAAAAAGUUAAAAAAAUACUUCUCAUAGAAUAUCGCUCCAAAUACUUCCCAAAAGAUCAGUGUCAUCAGGGAUCCCUUCUUCAAGCGCCACCAGUGUUCUUCAACUCCCUUAAACAUGAAU
rnacentral:lncRNA from 1 species